CCCAUCUUUGUGGUGGACACUGACCAGGUGAGGUACCAACACAGUUCACACUCCUAAGGCCCCCAUCUGUGUGGUGGACACCCACACUGACCAGGUGAGUUACCAUCACAGUUCACACUCCUAAGGCCCCCAUCUUUGUGGUGGACACCCACACUGACCAGGUGAGGUACCAUCACAGUUCACACUCCUAAGGCCCCCAUCUUUGUGGUGGACACCCACACUGACCAGGUGAGAUACCAUGACAGUUCACACUCCUAAGGCCCCCAUCUUUGUGGUGGACACCCACACUGACCAGGUGAGAUACCAUGACAGUUCACACUCCUAAGGCCCCCAUCUUUGUGGUGGACACCCACACUGACCAGGUGAGGUACCAUCACAGUUCACACUCCUAAGGCCCCCAUCUUUGUGGUGGACACCCACACUGACCAGGUGAGGUACCAUCACAGUUCACACUCCUAAGGCCCCCAUCUUUGUGGUGGACACCCACACUGACCAGGUGAGGUACCAUCACAGUUCACACUCCUAAGGCCCCCAUCUUUGUAGUGGACACCCACACUGACCAGGUGAGGUACCAUCACAGUUCACACUCCUAAGGCCCCCAUCUUUGUGGUGGACACCCACACUGACCAGGUGAGGUACCAUCACAGUUCACACUCCUAAGGCCCCCAUCUUUGUGGUGGACACCCACACUGACCAGGUGAGGUACCAUCACAGUUCACACUCCUAAGGCCCCCAUCUUUGUGGUGGACACCCACACUGACCAGGUGAGGUACCAUCACAGUUCACACUCCUAAGGCCCCCAUCUUUGUGGUGGACACCCACACUGACCAGGUGAGGUACCAUCACAGUUCACACUCCUAAGGCCCCCAUCUUUGUGGUGGACACCCACACUGACCAGGUGAGGUACCAUCACAGUUCACACUCCUAAGGCCCCCAUCUUUGUGGUGGACACCCACACUGACCAGGUGAGGUACCAUCACAGUUCACACUCCUAAGGCCCCCAUCUUUGUGGUGGACACCCACACUGACCAGGUGAGGUACCAUCACAGUUCACACUCCUAAGGACCCCCAUCUUUGUGGUGGACACCCACACUGACCAGGUGAGGUACCAUCACAGUUCACACUCCUAAGGCCCCCAUCUUUGUGGUGGACACCCACACUGACCAUGUGAGGUACCAUCACAGUUCACACUCCUAAGACCCCCGUCUUUGUGGUGGACACCCACACUGACCAGGUGAGGUACCAUCACAGUUCACACUCCUAAGGCUCCCAUCUUUGUGGUGGACACCCACACUGACCAGGUGAGGUACCAUCACAGUUCACACUCCUAAGGCCCCCAUCUUUGUGGUGGACACCCACACUGACCAGGUGAGGUACCAUCACUGUUCACACUCCUAA